UGGUCAUUUAGAGGAAGUAAAAGUCGUAACAAGGUUUUCCUUCCGAUUAAAGAAUUUUAACUAUCGAAGCCUUACACAGCGACUCUAAAUAAAAUGUGCAGUCUUACCUAGGUAAAGACAAUACCGCUGAAAUGCUGUGAUCACGUAAGUGUACCAGCAGCCUAUUCUCUAGGCCCACAGAUCAAGUGGCGGUGGUCCAUGGUUAAAAAACCAUGGGCUAUAAUAUGACCGGUUCUAACCUCAAACGGUUAAGAAUUCAACGUUCCGUAGGUGAACCUGCGGAAGGAUCAUUAAUGAGUUAGGGUCUUCUAGGCUCAAUCUCCAACCCUUUGUAUAAUUACCUUGUUGCUUUGGCGUGCCCGUCUUUAACCGGACCGUCGGGGGUUUUUAACCCCUGGUCAGUGCUCGUCAGUAGCCCACAAUAAACUCUUUUAACCAUGUUAAAUCUGAAAUUAUUUAAAUAAACUAAAAACUUUCAACAACGGAUCUCUUGGUUCUGGCAUCGAUGAAGAACGCAGCGAAAUGCGAUAAGUAAUGCGAAUUGCAGAAUUCAGUGAGUCAUCGAAUCUUUGAACGCACAUUGCGCCCUUUAGUAUUCUGAAGGGCAUGCCUGUUCGAGCGUCAUUGUCACUAAUCAAGCCCGGCUUGCUGUUGGACCUCUUGUCGUUAAAAGACAGGCCCUAAAGAUAAUGACGGUGUUAUUAGAACCCUAGAUGCAAUGAGCUUUAACUAGCACGCAUGAUAGUGGCCUUUUAACCCGGUCUUUUUUAACUAAUUUUAAGGUUGACCUCGGAUCAGGUAGGAAUACCCGCUGAACUUAAGCAUAUCAAUAAGCGGAGGA
rnacentral:rRNA from 1 species